rnacentral:rRNA from 1 species
CCUACGGGAGGCAGCAGUGGGGAAUAUUGCACAAUGGGCGCAACCCUGAUGCAGCGACGCCGCGUGAGUGAAGAAGUAUCUCGGUAUGUAAAGCUCUAUUAGUAGGGAAGAAAAUGUCGGUACGUGACUAAUAACGCCCUGAUAACAACGGGCCAGCAGCCGGGGUAAUACGUAGGGGGCAAGCGUUCUCCGGUUGUACUGGGGGUAAAGUGAGCGUAGACGGUGCUGCAAGUCCGGAGUGAAAGCGCAGGGUUUAACCGGGUUACGGCUCUGGAGACUGUGGAGCUUGAGUGCGGGAGGGGAAGGCGGAAUUCCUGGUGUAGCGGUGAAAUGCGUAGAUAUUAGGAGGAACACCAGUGGCGAAGGCGGCCUGCUGGACCGUAACUGACGUUGAGGCUCGAAAGCGUGGGGAGCAAACAGGAUUAGAUACCCGAGUAGUC